CCAAGGCAUUUGGAAGAGCUCAGUGAGAAGAAUUGGUUGUUUUGUAAAUAAGAGGAUAAUCCCAAAUUCCAAGCUAGUGGAACAUUGGUGGAACUGGCAGUCUUCAGUCAAGUGAUCCUCUUUCCCUAAUGCUUCCCAACAUUUCAAAAUAGGCUUGUCAAGCAUUUUGACAAAUGAUGUGUGUUUCCCGGUUGAAUCGGCGCUCACUGUACAUUUGUAUAUGUAUCAAGAAGAUAAGAAGUGCUUUUCAGAGUCUUCUGAAGAGGUCAUUGAGGACAUUUGAGAUUAAUGAUCCCAAGGAGAAAGAGGAAUGAAGUUCUGGAAAGACCGUCGGAAGGACUACUAGCGGACACCGAUUAUGUGAUGGAUUGACACUCAGAUAGACACAUAUCUUGCCCGGUGUGUAAAUAGAGGAAAGUUCCUCAAUUAGCUUAAGCUGCCGAAUGGCCUCAUUCCGGACGUGAUUGGAACAUUUCCAUACAUGAGUGCUCUUGUGUACCUUGGUCCACCAAAACAUUUGAACACCUCUCGUUGAAUGUUGGGAGGUCUUCAAUGGUCGGACCUUCUCGCUGAACUGUCUGAGCCCUUGGGAUUGGGGAAGAUGCUUGAUUCAAGCCCGCCUAUUGACUAUACAUGAGGUGGACCAUUGGGACCAGAAAGUGAGAAACCCGACAUUCUCUAAUGGUCAAAAGGGUUUGGGGACUACAUCGAUUUGUUAAGCUGUGCUCUAUAUUACCGAUGGUUUUGUAAUGGACUCUGAGAUAUAUUACCAUGGGUUUUUGGUCUUCUGCUUACAUUUGCAACUCUGACCCUCCCAGAAGCUGGCAAAAUUGGUUGACUACUAUGUAGGUCUUUGGAUUGACAAUCUGGAAUGCCCAAUGUGUGACGAGGUUUUCCAUUCAGACAUUGAGCCCUCCCAACAAGACGCGUUGUGUGUAAGCUUUUCACGGCUAGUCAUUGUGUUAUGUCUCAAAAGUACAACAAUGGCUUGAAGGUCUUAGUAUGAGAGCCUAGCACUUAAAAGAUCAACAUGGUAACUAUGAAGUGGAGGAGGAUCCGUUCCUUCUUUAUUUUUCUGGGUGGCGUCUGUGAGCUUAUGAUAUUCAGGCUUCUCUACAUCACGAACAUUCGCCUUCCGGAGCACGCUUUAAUGGUGGCCAUUUCCGUCUUUCAAAAUAAGGAUGAAAGGGCCUCAUUGCCCAAAGCACUCUAUGACACUAAAGUGAGUGUGCUCGUGACUUUCCACUUAUGCUUGUGAAUGGAAGGACGUGGGAAAGCCCAACAGCCUAAAGAUAGACAUCUUUGGGGCGCUAUGAGCAAAUUAAAACUCGUGUCAAACUUUCAUCCAAGUGGAACUCGUGGAACAAUCUCGUCUCUGGACAUCUAUCCAUAUGCCGUGGUCCAUGGAAUGGCCCUAGGAACAAACCGAUUUGGUCUGAAUAACGACCGUGUCAAGGCGGUCUGGCAUCACAGAGUGAAAUGAAUGAAGGUCUAUUUCUCUUGAUACUGCAGUACUUUCCAGUUGCUCUCCACGGCCAACUCCACGACUUGGGAUGUCUAAGGGGAGAGAUAUAUUUACAAAUGGGAGGUAUCUACUAUCUGGACACGCGGACCCAUACAUCCAUGAAGCAUCAAAUUCAUCAAAGGGUCUUCUGGCCUUCAUGGAGCCUUGGAACGCUUUUUACUACAAUGGAACCCAAUCUAUCAGUGAGCGAGUGUUUAUCUUUCAUUGAUUGAGAGGGCUCAAACACGAAGAAACAAUGCUCAAGAUAGGAAUCGGAUAGCACCACCAACCAUACCCAAUGGACCUACAUAUAGCCUCAGUAUGUGAAAUCCAGAAGCGAGUCAAGGCCGAGGUCAUUUUCAUUGGGGACAGGACCACCCACAUCUACCCGAUAAAUCUCAACUUCCUCAAGUGUCCGCAACCAAAAAGGCUUCAAAGGACCAAUGGGAUC